UUUUUUUCUUUUUUUGGAGAUGGGAUCUCAGUGUGUUGCCCAGGCUGGUCUCGAACCCCUUGGCUCAAACGAUCCUCCAGCCUCAGCCUCCCAAAGUGCUGGGAUUCGAGGCAUGAGCCACCGAGCCCACCGUGCAGAUGGAUGUUUUUGUGCAUGCUUUUGAUGAAUGCUUUCUCUCUCUCAGCCUGUGCCCAGGGCACCUUCAAGCCCCUGUCAGGAGAAGGGUCCUGCCAGCCAUGCCCAGCCAAUAGCCAUUCUAACACCAUUGGAUCAGCCGUCUGCCAGUGCCGCAUCGGGUACUUCCGGGCACGCACAGACCCCCGGGGUGCACCCUGCACCACCCCUCCUUCAGCUCCGCGGAGCGUGGUUUCCCGCCUGAACGGCUCCUCCCUGCACCUGGAGUGGAGUGCCCCCCUGGAGUCCGGUGGCCGAGAGGACCUCACCUACGCCCUCCGCUGCCGGGAGUGCCGACCCGGAGGCUCCUGCGCGCCCUGUGGGGGAGACCUGACUUUUGACCCCGGCCCCCGGGACCUGGUGGAGCCCUGGGUGGUGGUUCGAGGGCUACGUCCUGACUUCACCUAUACCUUUGAGGUCACUGCAUUGAACGGGGUAUCCUCCUUAGCCACGGGGCCCGUCCCAUUUGAGCCUGUCAAUGUCACCACCGACCGAGAGGUACCUCCCGCAGUGUCUGACAUCCGGGUGACGCGGUCCUCACCCAGCAGCUUGAGCCUGGCCUGGGCUGUUCCCCGGGCACCCAGUGGGGCUGU
rnacentral:sRNA from 1 species